AUUAGUAUAUAAAGUUCCUUCCGCUAAUAAACAAAAAUAAAAGUUGUUUCUUUAUUAGAUUGAUUUCUACUUGCAUAACAUUGUAUUCAUUUCGCUUAUGGUUACUCACUCAUAAGUGUGACUAUUUUACUCCUUUAUGAAUGGGUACUCUCAUAUGAGUACGCGUACACCUACUCGUACUCAAUCAAAUAGCUGCCGAGCCGACGACUGACUGACUUAAGGAAGCAAGUUUUCAUUUCAUUGAAAAACUGAUGUACGAGACACUAUACGCGAGUAGAUUUCUUGGUACCUUGAAAAAAAUGUGUUUAAUAUUCAAAUUACGUGUGGCGCGUACCUAUAAAACAACCAGAGAGUGAAUUCCCAUUUAAUUUAGUCAUUAAGGUCAUACCUAUUUUUGCACUGAUUUCAAACAAUAACAACCCCCAUCCAAGUCCAUAGGUAUACAUAUGUACAUAUGUUCCAAGGACCCUUAACAAAAAAAACCUUUGUUGUUGGUUGGACUUUUGCACUUAAUAGGUAUAUGUUUAAUAUCACUUGGUCAUAAAUAGAUAUAUUUUAAUAAAGAGCAAGAACCUAGGUACUAUACGAUAUUUGAAGCUAAUUUAUUGAACUUUACCUAAUUAAUAUAAACAAAAACAGGUGUAUUUAAUUUUCAACGUACCUUUUAUUUGAAUUUGUUUCGGUGGUUUCCGGUAAGAAAAUACAAAAACACACUUGAUUUAUCACUUUUGUUUUAAAUUCACAAUAAAAUAAUAAUUAUGUUUUGGAAUGUUCGCUUAUCCAAAUUUAAAAUUUGUGUAUAUAAGUUCAGGAGAUGUGUAUAUCCUUUGGUUUGAUUUUAAUUUUAAACAAAAGUUGUGUAAUUGUUUUUAUUUUUAUAUUUUUAUUCAGUUAUUAAUAUUUUAGUUCUUUUCCUGUCCAGCACGGCGGCGAAAACACAACUGCGCUGAUAUCAAAUUUGUCGUAACGUUUUCACUUCGCAAAUACUUGAUACGGAAUGUCAUUUGGUUUGGAAGACACAUUCAUUCAGUCAGACAAAUUUGCUCAGAAUCAGAACUGAGUUCUGAUGAUGACGUAGACGACGACGACGGCGACGACGAGAUAGUCGGCUUCAUGUGUAUGUGAGCUCGCGCGGGACCAGUCGCAGUCGGCAGCGCCAACUUUUGUGGAAAAACACACUCUGACUUCGGACUAUUCUGGUAGCAUCAAUGAGAUGUGUGUUAUCAACAUCAAUUGGAAAAAGGGGUUGCAAUCUUGCAAUAUUCUGCCUCUUUUACACCGGCGCCGGUAAUGGUGACCGGUCGAACGGACGUUAACGGUUGACGGUACGCUGCUGAUUUGAAAUUAUGCUUCCUGUUUGUCUGAUGGUAAGAUACCGCUCAGUUAUAUUUUUGGACGUAUAAUUAACUGGAAUUAGGUACAUACCUACAAUGCAAUUUACGUAUGUAGCUAUUAAUAAGAUUGAGAUUCGAAUUCGACCUUCAAAAAUUUAACGAUGUCAAAUGAGAAAAAUGAUGAAGACGAUGUAGAAAUCAAAAGUUCAAAUAUUCUUCUGCCUCUAGAUGUAAUGUAUGUAUGCGUGUGGAAAAUAAAAACAUAUACAUACAAAAAGAUAUUCUAUAUUAACGAUUUGGCAAGAACGGUUGCCACUUAAAAAUUAAUUUUGUGCUCAAAAUUAAAAAAAAAAUUAACAAAUUCAGUUGAAAAUUACAAAAAUAAUUUAAGUCUGAAAAAGGGUACAAGUUCAGAACAAUUUUAUCAUUUAUAGUUGAAAUUUAACACUCUGAGCUUUUAUUAAUUUCUUUUAUGAAAAUUCGAAUUUGAAAUCUAUUAACAAACGGACCUUAAAUCCACUAUUAUAUUCAGCUGUUAACGAACAUACAAUUGUACAUACAUACAUAUGUAUGUAUGUAUGUACAUUAAUCAUAGGCAUAACUAGAACGAAAUCAUAUUUUGUUUAUUAGAAACGGAAAGUCGUAUAUCGUCGCUGAAAAAUCAAAGUUAUAUACAUAAGUCAAAAUAUUCAGGUAUACUAUUUUCUACCCUAAAAAGAAUAUUAAUUUUCUUGCAGACAUAAUUACUAAUUAUAAAAUCAAAUAUUAGAGAAAAAGAAAUCAUAAAGAAAAUAAUUUCUGAAAUUUUGACUUGAUUUCAUUUAAAAAAACACACAUUUUGAAGUAAAACACAAUUUUGACAUACAUAUGUAUGUACAUAUAUUACUUUGUUUUUUUUCAGCAACGAUAAGUAGUUGAAACUAAUCCAUAAGAAUUCUUAAAUUCUAAUUAUCAAUAGGAAAAGUUGUAUGAAACGAAUGUCGGGACUACUUUUUACAUAAAUGUUGUUAAAUUUAAAUUUAUGUAAUAGCUUAUGGCUAAUUUCAUUUUCUUAUAACAUUAUACUGACCAAAUAAAAUAUAAAUAUGCAUUAUUAUUUCCGGAAUAGAUUAAGAAAAUCUCUUAUUAUAUACAUAUGUAUAUUCCAAAAUAGAUUUCAUAAAUGAUUUAAAUGCGAUUUGUAAAAGAUUAUACGUUCAUGUGAUUUCGGAUUUGGCAUGGCGAAUACCAAAAUUACAAUUUAUACAUUAUUUGUAACUUCAUCUUUUGUAUUUAAAUUCAAUAGAGAAUGACAAAAUACAAGAUCUCACAUAAUA